rnacentral:rRNA from 1 species
UACGUAGGGUGCAAGCGUUAAUCGGAAUUACUGGGCGUAAAGCGUGCGCAGGCGGUGAUGUAAGACAGAUGUGAAAUCCCCGGGCUCAACCUGGGAACUGCAUUUGUGACUGCAUCGCUGGAGUACGGCAGAGGGGGAUGGAAUUCCGCGUGUAGCAGUGAAAUGCGUAGAUAUGCGGAGGAACACCGAUGGCGAAGGCAAUCCCCUGGGCCUGUACUGACGCUCAUGCACGAAAGCGUGGGGAGCGAACAGG